CAGCAGUGAGGAAUAUUGGUCAAUGGGCGAGAGCCUGAACCAGCCAAGUCGCGUGAAGGAAGACGGUUCAUAAGGAUUGUAAACUUCUUUUGCAGAGGAGUAACGAUAGGCACGUGUGCCUAUGUGAACGUACUCUGCGAAUAAGUAUCGGCUAACUCCGUGCCAGCAGCCGCGGUAAUACGGAGGAUACGAGCGUUAUCCGGAAUUAUUGGGUUUAAAGGGUGCGUAGGUGGCUAUUUAAGUCAGGGGUGAAAAGCAUGAGCUCAACUCAUGUCUUGCCUUUGAAACUGGACAGCUAGAGAAAAGACGAGGUAUGUGGAAUGUGUGGUGUAGCGGUGAAAUGCAUAGAUAUCACACAGAACUCCGAUUGCGCAGGCAGCGUACCAGACUUCUUCUGACACUGAAGCACGAAAGCGUGGGGAUCAAACAGGAUUAGA
rnacentral:rRNA from 1 species